CUCGAGGCCAGAUCUUUCCGGUUGAUCCUGCCGGACCUGACUGCUAUCGGAUUGAUACUAAGCCAUGCGAGUCUUUGUAGCAAUACAAGGCAGACGGCUCAGUAACACGUAGUCAAUCUACCCUAUGGACGGGGAUAACCUCGGGAAACUGAGAAUAAUACCCGAUAGAUCAUUAUGCCUGGAAUGGUUUAUGGUCGAAAUGAUUUAUCGCCGUAGGAUGGGACUGCGGUCUAUCAGCUUGUUGGUGAGGUAAUGGCCCACCAAGGCUAUAACAGAUACGGGCUCUGAGAGGAGAAGCCCGGAGAUGGGUACUGAGACACGGACCCAGGCCCUAUGGGGCGCAGCAGGCGAGAAAACUUUGCAAUGUGCGAAAGCACGACAAGGUUAAUCCGAGUGUUUUCUGCUAAAGAAAUCUUUUGUCAGUCCUAAAAACACUGAUGAAUAAGGGGUGGGCAAGUUCUGGUGUCAGCCGCCGCGGUAAAACCAGCACCUCAAGUGGUCAGGAGGAUUAUUGGGCCUAAAGCAUCCGUAGCCGGCCGUGUAAGUUUUCGGUUAAA
rnacentral:rRNA from 1 species